ACUACACAGAAUUUGAGCUUGCAUCAGUUCAUAGUUGUUGUAUAAGCCUUGUUACAAAGUUGUUAAAAUGUGCCCAAAGGAUAGAAAAAUAACCAAGAUGAUUUAUUCAGAUCUUAUUUCAUGAUCAAGCAUGGGUAAACAGGUAUGACCUGAUUGCUGUGCUGGACAACCAUUCUCCGACAGAGAAGGAUCCCUGUCAUUCCUGUGCUGUGGACCCUGAACUGAACACACCACUCCAGGUGGGAUCUCACCAGACCUCCCUCAAUCUGCUGGCCACACUGCUUUAGAUGCAGCCCAGGACAUGGCUGGCUUUCUCAACUGCAAGUGCACAUUACUGGCUCAUAUCCAAAAAA